rnacentral:rRNA from 1 species
UACAGAGGUGGCAAGCGUUGUUCGGAACUACUGGGCGUAAAGGGCGCGUAGGCGGCCAUCUAAGUCAGACGUGAAAUCCCCCGGCUUAACCUGGGAACUGCGUCUGAUACUGGACGGCUCGAGUAUGGGAGAGGGAUGUAGAAUUCCAGGUGUAGUGGUGAAAUACGUAGAUAUCUGGAGGAACUCCGGUGGCGAAGGCGGCCAUCUGGCCCAACAUU